GAGUGUCUUGUGUUCAGAUUGUUUUAAGUGAUAAUUUAACAAUAUUUUUCCAAAUAAAUGGAAAGAAACUUUUAUUUAUAUCAAAUAAUUGAGUGUCUCGACUGUGUGACAUUAUGUCUUGUGUGGUAUGGGGCUGCAGCUCACAUUCAGGAAGAAAAGAAAAUAGCCAACAACUUCUGUCGUUUCAUCGAUAUUAAAUCCAAAAGUGUCGACUGGAUUUACAUGAAAAGUCAGUUCAAGAAGACGAGAUGAAAAAUUUAAAAGAAAAGCUGAACAAGUCCCGCCUCAAGAUCAAACGACUUAAUGAAAAAAAAAACAAUGUGUCAGGGUGUCACAAAGACAGUUUCUAAGCAAAUUGACACUGUUUAGAAAUUAAUAAAUUUGUAUUUAUUGUAAAUAUAAUGUACAUAAUUAAUAACGUGUGAAAUAAAUACUUGCUAAUGAAAAUGAACAGAUUUACGAUCUA